AUUUAUAUAGUUUAUAUAUAUAUAAAACAUUACAUUUUCACUGUAAAAAAAAAUAAAUUAUUUUAUAAAUA
rnacentral:tRNA from 1 species